rnacentral:rRNA from 1 species
AUACGAAGGGCCCGAGCGUUGCGCGGUGUCAUUGGGCUUAAAGGGUGCGUAGGCGGACCCGCAAGUGCCUUGUGAAAGCCCUCGGCUCAACCGAGGAAUUGCUUGGUAGACUGCGGGUCUUGAGUUCGGCAGGGGCGGUCGGAACUCUAGGUGGAGCGGUGAAAUGCGUAGAUAUCUAGAGGAACGCCAAAGGUGAAGACAGACCGCUGGGCCGACGCUGACGCUCAGGCACGAAAGCGUGGGGAGCGAACGGGAUUAGAUACCCGGGUAGUCC